CCUACGGGAGGCUGCAGUGAGGAAUAUUGGUCAAUGGGAGAGAUCCUGAACCAGCCAAGCCGCGUGAGGGAAGACGGCCCUAUGGGUUGUAAACCCCUUUUGUCGGAGAAAAAAAACCGGGUCGUGUACCGGACUGCGUGUAUCCGAAGAAAAAGCAUCGGCUAACUACGUGCAAGCAGCCGCGGUAAUACGGAGGAUGCGAGCGUUAUCCGGAUUUAUUGGGUUUAAAGGGUGCGUAGGCGGUCCGUUAAGUCCGCGGGAAAAUUGAGGGGCUCAACCCCGUCGCGCCGUUGAAUCUGGAAGACGUGAGUUGGCGAGAAGUACGCGGAAUGCGAGGUGAAGCGGUGAAAUGCAUAGAUAUCGCGCAGAACUCCGAUUGCGAAGGCAGCGUACCGGCGCCAGACUGACGCUGAGGCACGAAAGCGUGGGGAGCGAACAGGAUUAGAUACCCCAGUAGUC
rnacentral:rRNA from 1 species